ACCUGGGUGGCUCAGUCGGUUGAGCGUCUGACCUCAGCUCAGGCCAUGAUCUCAUGGUUCGUGGGUUCAAGCCCCACGUCAGGCU
rfam:Felis catus isolate Cinnamon breed Abyssinian chromosome D2, whole genome shotgun sequence.